GCCUCUCCUCCUCCUCCACCAGCGCCGCCUCUCCUCCUCCUCCACCAGCGCCGCCUCUCCUCCUCUUCUUCGUAUGGGUCUGACUGGAUCCUUCCGCGCGUGCGUCCGCUUCUCCUCGAACUGAAGCGUCACAGGCAGGAGGUCAACAUCCGGGUUCAGCCCCGAUGAAUUUGGGCUUGGGCGCGCUGCUGCUGCAGGGAAGGCGGUCCACCACUGCUCGUGCCUCCACAACAACCAUCUCUCCCCAUGACCUGUGCCCAAAUUGGAUCCACAACCUAGGACAUGCCCUAGCAAGGAAUUGAUAUUCCAAUCAAUCUAUUGAUGUGGUGUUUGUCGGAGGCGAAGAGUAGCGACGGGUUCAUUCUGAGGUCGUCUUUCUCGAGGUACAUUCAUGAGUCAGUGCGUCACUUCAGUUCACCUUACCACAAAUGCUUUGCGGGCUGCUCUCUCAUCUAAGAUUACUGCUACAACCAAACUUAGAAUCAUGCUAGGUAUGCAUAUUCGGAGUAUAAGAUUAUGAUGACAAGUUCUGAGAAUCCGAGCAUCUGAGGUGAGCUUCCCGGCGAUGGCGGCGACGCUCGUGGGCAUCGCGGCGCUCGGAGAUGCAGCAGAUCCCCACCAGGCCGUGCUGGCACUUGGGGUACUCCCCUACGACGACGGCCCAGCGGCGGAUGGUGCGAGGGAGGCCGGCCACCGCGACGAGUUCCUCUUCCUCUCUCCCCGAUCUAGCAAGAGCAGUAGGAGGCGGCGGGGAGGAUGAGCAAGGAGACAGCGGGAGGAAGAGAGAUUCUUGGCGGCGCGCUUGCCUUAUUGGACAUGUUGUGCAGCUCACUGUUUUUUCUCUUGCCAUCAUCUCCAAUAGUGUCGAGUCCCCUUCCUGGCGCCAAUUGCAACACAUAUCUCCUUUAACUGAUUAGCCAUUGUUUCCCGCAGCCGGUUUAGUUUUGUCUCGAACAUCCGUUUUCUUUGAGAUUUGUUUUUGUCGUGUGCUGAUUAUUUAGACAUCCUCUCUCUGCCACCACAACCUAUCCAAGCAAGCAACAGAUCGAGGAGGACGGAGGCACGGCAUGACGGCGACCGUGGCAUAGAUCAAGAGCAUGGCCAUGGGCUCAUGGCCUGGGAGCGAAUCAGGCAUCCUGGAUCACGACGGAAGCUGGAAGCCGCGAGAGCUGCCCGAAGAAGAGGGCGACGACAUGGGGUGGAGGCUGAGGAAGAGGGCGACGAAGCUGGGGUGGAAGAGGGUGUGUCUGUGGUUAUCGCCUUCCGAGACGACGCGACUUGAUGAUUUAGAUUCGCCUUCCGAGAUGAUGCGACGCAGCAAUUCAGAUUUCUCUCCUUCCUCGCCUCAACGACAUGCUCUGCUUCUCUAGCUUGUAGGGGUAUGAGGAGAGAGCUCUAUUGUUUGCAGCGGUUGCAUCAUUUCGACCAGUGAUAUGAUUGAUCUUUGCUAUGUGGACCAAUGGCAUGAUGUGUACCUAAGGUUGGAGGUGCUGAAUUGGAACACGCGAGAAAUCACUGAUGCGCAUGGCUGGCAGCUUUCGCACGAUGAAGUAAAAUUGGCAGGACCAAUUAGGAUGCAUACCUGAAGGAGUGAAUCUACUGGUUCGGCUGAAAAUUGAUCUCUAUUUGGUUUAUGUUUUUGCGUUUGGUUUUGCCGGCCGCUCAUCCUUGGUAUGCUCAUCCAUCUUGGCGGCUCUGCUUGCCUGCUUCUCCUUUCUAACUCAGGUUAUGCGAUCUCUUGUGUUGCUGCGUCCCGAUCUUCUGCUUUGUUGCAUCGCUAUUCUGUCAUCGAGAGGACGUGUAUGUACUUGCUGGGGUGGAAUUCAAAUUGUGAGGGAUGGUUGUGCUCAGAUUUGGUCGCUGCUGGUCGGUUCUUGACUUCAGCGCAUGAAAACCUGCAACUGCUAUCAAGCGAACCACAGGAGGGAGCAGGAGGCAUAGAAGAAAUCCCAAGCCAUUUUUGCUUAGCUGUAGCAUCUUCCACUGACAAUAAGUCUGCACAGCAGCUUGGUGAGGUUUGUUCUUGCAUUUAAAAACAUAAGUCUUUCAGUUGCUCUCUACUCGCUGGUAAAAACGCAGUGUGAAUUUCCUUUAUAAAUACCCAGCUGAAGAAUAUUUUAGUUAAAUCAAUCAAUAGUGAGUUGUAUUACUAGAGAGUAGAGACGUAAGAAAACGCCCUUAGGUGUGACACUCUACGUGGUUACCUUCUCAGUCCCAGCUAUUGACAUCAUACCGAGAUCACAUUCUACCAAGCGGAAUAUUUGUUUCUAUGUACUUCUGGAUGCUAAUUUACCGUUCUUGAUUUUCAUGGGGAUAUUCCUUCAUUAUUUGGUUACCUGUCAAUGCUUGGUCCUAUUUCCCACCUUGUGCUUUGACUUCUUGCAUUUUUUCCGUCUAAAGUUAUUAGGCUACUGCUGCCUGGUUUGCCCAUGAUGAACCACUAAUUAUGAUGCACUGCUGGCUGGUCUGCCUUUUUUAUGCCUUUUUAGUGACAACAUUCAGACUUAAUGUUUAUUACUUCAUUUCAGAGUUUUAAAUUAAGACAUCGCGGUCAAUUUAUAUGGUCUUCUGAAGUUUCACCUUCCCUUUGUCAUAUUGGUUUGAUCAAAUCAAUGGGAAGCCGGAUGACUUUGAUGUACUGGCUUACAGUCUCAUUAAGUACUCCCUCUUCAAACUAAUACAAGACCUUUUAGAUCACUACUUACCUUUUAGAUCACUAAAAUAGUGAUCUAAAAGGUCUUACAUCUUAGUGCAUAUUUAACUACUUUAUUUACUGUACUAUUGUGGAUGCACCGCAGAAUAAAGCAGUCCUCCAUUUUUCUUCUCUGCGGGCUAAUGUUCUUGCUCAGUAUAAGCUAACAAUGGAGAAACUGACCAAGCUAUCUUUCAUGAUCAGUUACACACCAAGCCUAUAUUUUUGCUGCUUCUACAUGUUGCUAUGAUGGUCAUUCAGCCCAUUUUCUUGAACCUGCACUAC